GCUAAUAUUUCACCUAUAGGUCCAGACCUAAUAUCUAAUUUACAAGCAAACGUGGAAGAAAUAAAAGAUUGGGUAGCACCUGUAGUGAUCAGACUCUGGUAGAAAUGUCAUGGAUAGAAAGCAUACCCUGAAUGAAGAUAGGAGUGGGGAGGGCAAUGGAUUUAUCAAGGUGAUACACACAAUCCUGGGCUACAGGUCUGACCAUGUCCUUUAACCAUUGAGGGUAGUCCUUCAAGAGGUGCUGAGUGCUUCCGCACCUAUAGCAGGUGUUAUUCAAACGCAAAGAGGGUUGAUCACCAUAUAAGCGACCACAAUGUUGGCAUCGUUAGGAAGGUCAGGCAGGGGGAGGGACAACUUAGGGUCAUUUAUCGGGGUGGCUAUUUAUUAAGUCAGGUAGUCUUCUUCUGGGUUGUUGGGGUUGGGGUUAUCGUUGUUAGGUACGGAGUCGGACAAUGCGUUGGUGCCUGACCGAGAUAAGGUCUUUGGCCAACUGGACAUGUUCUAGCACCUCAGCAUACGAGCUGGGUCUCAGCAUCAGAAACCGAUCGUAG
rnacentral:lncRNA from 1 species